rnacentral:rRNA from 1 species
UACGGAGGAGGCAAGCGUUAUCCGGAAUUAUUGGGCGUAAAGCGUCCGUAGGUGGGUGAGGAAGUCUGCUGUUAAAGAGUGAGGCUUAACCUCAUAAGGGCAGUGGAAACUCUUCGUCUAGAGUGCGACAGGGGCAAGGGGAAUUCCUAGUGUAGCGGUGAAAUGCGUAGAGAUUAGGAAGAACACCGGUGGCGAAAGCGCCUUGCUGGGUCUGCACUGACACUGAGGGACGAAAGCUAGGGGAGCGAAAGGG